rnacentral:rRNA from 1 species
UACGGAGGGUGCAAACGUUGCUCGGAAUCAUUGGGCGUAAAGCGCACGUAGGCGGCCUGAUAAGUCGGGUGUGAAAGCCCUGGGCUCAACCCAGGAAGUGCACUCGAAACUGUCAGGCUUGAAUAUGGAAGAGGGUCGCGGAAUUCCCGGUGUAGAGGUGAAAUUCGUAGAUAUCGGGAGGAACACCAGUGGCGAAGGCGGCGACCUGGGCCAAUAUUGACGGCUGAGGUGCGAAAGCGUGGGGAGCAAACAGG